rnacentral:lncRNA from 1 species
ACUAGGCUGCGGCUUAUAGCGGAACAACUUCCUAAACAACUCGAGGCUUGGAGGAACUCCCAAAUAAACUUCGCAGAGGUGUAUGAAAAUGGACAUAUGCAGUACACCAUUGGGGUUCAAAUGAACAAGUUGAAGCUUAUAGUACUCGAGGAUACCUCUGAAGAAAUCGGAGGUGGGCACUGCCAAACCCCUCUCCACAAAGUGUGCGAGCAUCAC